rnacentral:lncRNA from 1 species
UGAGACUUAGAAAAUUGCUGGAAUAGCUGUUUUUGUUUGUUUGUUGGUUGGUUUGUUUUGUCUUUUUCAGACAGGAUCUAGCUCUGCAGUUCAGGCUGUCCUUGAGCUCACUUUGUAGCCCAAGCUGGCCUUGAACUCACAAUGAUCCUCCUGCUUCAGCCUCCCCAGUGCUGGGAUUACAGGUGUGCACCACCAUGCUUGGCUAGCUGCUUUAACUGUAAGAGUUUAUCCCCCGACAGCUUCAAAUUGACCCAGUGUACUUUCUUCAGGUUCCGAUUCUCAUUGUUGGAAGAUAAACGUUUAGCCAUUCGUCAGUCUUUGCAAGAGACAUGUACCAUUCACAUUGUCAUGAUGUUCACAUCACCGAACAAGAAAAGCAGGAGGGCGAAGCUGCUGGCUUCUUUUCCCCUUACAAAUGCCAGGAGGGCUUAUGCAAACCUGCAGCCGCCCAGAUUUCACUUAAAGUUAUAAUGGUCGUCCUUAUCUAAUGACUUCUGCCUGCGCUCACGGGAACAUUGCUUCAUCUCUUCUGCCCCUGGGGACCCACUGGGAGUUGUCAAUGAUCUAUUUGCAGAUGAACUUCUUUUUCUUUUUUACACAGCAAACAUCAAGUGACAUCUAGUGGAUGCCCAGAUAUUACUUCCUGAGGCCUCUGGCUAGCAAUGUUUCCAGCACCAGAGUGACUUAAUAUUAUUCGUAAUAUUUAUCUAUCACUAGAGGCAAACACAAAAA